rnacentral:rRNA from 1 species
UACCAGCACCCCGAGUGGUCGGGACGUUUUAUUGGGCCUAAAGCAUCCGUAGCCGGUUCUACAAGUCUUCCGUUAAAUCCAACUGCUUAACAGGUGGGCUGCGGAAGAUACUAUAGAGCUAGGAGGCGGGAGAGGCAAGCGGUACUCGAUGGGUAGGGGUAAAAUCCGUUGAUCCAUGAAGACCACCAGUGGCGAAGGCGGCUUGCCAGAACGCGCUCGACGGUGAGGGAUGAAAGCUGGGGGGAGCAAACCGG